GUCUACGGCCAUACCACCCUGAACGCACCCGAUCUCAUCUGAUCUCGGAAGCUAAGCAGAGUCGGGCCUGGUUAGUACUUGGAUGGGAGAAAUGAGCAUCAUCAAUUCAGGGGUGGUAGGAA
ensembl:rRNA 5S_rRNA 5S ribosomal RNA